rnacentral:rRNA from 1 species
ACUCAAAUGAAUUGACGGGGGCCUGCACAAGCGGUGGAGUAUGUGGCUUAAUUCGAUGCAACGCGAAGAACCUUACCUGGCCUUGACAUGCACGUAGUAGGAGCCUGAAAGGGUAACGACCCCGCAAGGGGAGCGUGCACAGGUGCUGCAUGGCUGUCGUCAGCUCGUGUCGUGAGAUGUUGGGUUAAGUCCCGCAACGAGCGCAACCCUUGUGUCCUGUUGCCACUCCAACGAGAGUUGGAAGCACUCUGGACAGACUGCCUCGCUUAAACGAGGAGGAAGGUGGGGAUGACGUCAAGUCAGGAUGGCCCUUACGGCCAGGGCUGCACACGUACUACAAUGCCCGGCACAAAGGGAAGCAAGACCGCAAGGUGGAGCAAAUCCCAAAAAACCGGGCUCAGUUCAGAUUGUCGGCUGCAACUCGCCGACAUGAAGCUGGAAUCGCUAGUAAUGGCGCAUCAGCUACGGCGCCGUGAAUACGUUCCCAGGCCUUGUACACACCGCCCGU